rnacentral:rRNA from 1 species
AGUGAACGCUGGCGGUAGGCCUAACACAUGCAAGUCGAACGGCAGCACAGUAAGAGCUUGCUCUUACGGGUGGCGAGUGGCGGACGGGUGAGGAAUACAUCGGAAUCUACUUUUUCGUGGGGGAUAACGUAGGGAAACUUACGCUACUACCGCAUACGACCUACGGGUGAAAGCAGGGGAUCUUCAGACCUUGCGCGAUUGAAUGAGCCGAUGUCGGAUAGCUAGUUGGCGGGGUAAAGGCCCACCAAGGCGACGAUCCGUAGCUGGUCUGAGAGGAUGAUCAGCCACACUGGAACUGAGACACGGUCCAGACUCCUACGGGAGGCAGCAGUGGGGAAUAUUGGACAAUGGGCGCAAGCCUGAUCCAGCCAUACCGCGUGGGUGAAGAAGGCCUUCGGGUUGUAAAGCCCUUUUGUUGGGAAAGAAAAGCAGCAGGUUAAUACCCCGCUGUUCUGACGGUACCCAAAGAAUAAGCACCGGCUAACUUCGUG